GACGUAGGGGACGAGCGUUGUCCGGAUUCAUUGGGCGUAAAGCGCGCGUAGGCGGUUCGGUAAGUCGGGUGUGAAAACACGAGGCUCAACCUCGUGCGUGCAUCCGAUACUGCCGGACUAGAGGUAGGUAGGGGAGAUCGGAAUUCCUGGUGUAGCGGUGAAAUGCGCAGAUAUCGGGAGGAACACCGGUGGCGAAGGCGGUUCUCUGGGCCUGUACUGACGCUGAGGAGCGAAAGCGUGGGGAGCGAACAGG
rnacentral:rRNA from 1 species